rnacentral:rRNA from 1 species
UACGUAGGGUGCAAGCGUUGUCCGGAAUUAUUGGGCGUAAAGAGCUCGUAGGCGGUCUGUCGCGCCGGAUGUGAAAACCCAGGGCUCAACCCUGGGCCUGCAUUCGAUACGGGCAGACUAGAGUUCGGUAGGGGAGACUGGAAUUCCUGGUGUAGCGGUGAAAUGCGUAGAGAUCGGAAGGAACACCGGUGGCGAAGGCGGCUUCCUGGACCGAUACUGACGCUGAGGCGCGAAAGCUAGGGGAGCAAACGGG